UACGUAGGGGGCUAGCGUUGUCCGGAAUCAUUGGGCGUAAAGCGCGCGUAGGCGGCCCGGUAAGUCCGCUGUGAAAGUCAAAGGCUCAACCUUUGAAUGUCAGCGGAUACUGCCGGGCUAGAGUCCGGAAGAGGCGAGUGGAACUCCUGGUGUAGCGGUGGAAUGCGCAGAUAUCAGGAAGAACACCAACGGCGAAGGCAGCUCGCUGGGACGGUACUGACGCUGAGGCGCGAAAGCGUGGGAGCAAACAGG
rnacentral:rRNA from 1 species